GAUGAACGCUGGCGGCGUGCCUAAUACAUGCAAGUCGAGCGAACGGACGAGAAGCUUGCUUCUCUGAUGUUAGCGGCGGACGGGUGAGUAACACGUGGAUAACCUACCUAUAAGACUGGGAUAACUUCGGGAAACCGGAGCUAAUACCGGAUAAUAUUUUGAACCGCAUGGUUCAAAAGUGAAAGACGGUCUUGCUGUCACUUAUAGAUGGAUCCGCGCUGCAUUAGCUAGUUGGUAAGGUAACGGCUUACCAAGGCAACGAUGCAUAGCCGACCUGAGAGGGUGAUCGGCCACACUGGAGCUGAGACACGGUCCAGACUCCUACGAGAGGCAGCAGAAGGGUAUCUUCCGCAAUGGGCGAAAGCCUGACGGAGCAACGCCGCGUGAGUGAUGAAGGUCUUCGGAUCGUAAAACUCUGUUAUUCGGGAAGAACAUAUGUGUAAGUAACUGUGCACAUCUUGACGGUACCUAAUCAGAAAGCCACGGCUAACUACGUG
rnacentral:rRNA from 1 species